CAGCAGCCACUAAACUGGAGAAUUGCUGCCAGGAAAGCACUGGUGAAAGAUGUUCGACAAUUGUCAACUCAGCAUCAGACAUUCUCCCCGGAGGCCUACCAUUCCCUCAUCCUGCACCUUGCUCCCAAACACACUGGUUUCUAUUUUCUUGGGUGGUACAGCAGGCUUCUCUUGGCGGCCCUACAUUUCAACAGUAAUGGCAACAGAGAUGUAGCUCGAACCAGUGAGGGUGAGGCACGCUAUGCCGUUCGCUACCCGCUCUUUCGGAAAGGUGGCUGGGUAGUCCGCCCCAUCAAGGAUAAACCAUCUUACGGAUACGCAACAAAUCUUAUGGUCUCUGGCAGAGGAAUACUCUAGAUCACCCCAGGCCCUACAAGAAAGCAGUGCGGUCUUGUCUUCUGCUGCCCCGCCCCCCCUCACCACUUCCCUCCAGAAGGUUGCCAAGGAUGAGGCAGACAGCCUCCAUCUCGGACGACACUUGCGUUUUAACAUGGACUGCUGUGCUGCUUUCAAGUUCCUGGACACCAGAGCUCAGAAGCACCUGUCACGGGACUGCUGGAAGACCACAGAGGCUAUUAUCAGAGAGGCCACUUCUGGAAAUCUCGGAAACUGUUAUGAAACGAUAAGUCCUCCUCAACUCCUCUUUUCUGAAACCCAUCGGUCCCUUUCUGCCUCAAAAAAGUCUGACUGCUGGAACUCCAUCCAGGUCAACUCCUUGGCCAUGCCCUUGUCCUUGUAAAGGGACAACACUCUGGAGGGGCAGUAUAUGUAUUUCCCUCGGAUGUCAGGGAAACAGGCAUGGACAUGAGGGCUGCCAGGACCCUGCUUCGGUGGCUGGUGACAAAAUCUGAACAGGCGACCUGUUGGACGCUGCAGUGCAGACUUUCUCUUUGUCCUCUCUGCCACCUUCUUGCACACUGCACUCCUCUCUUCUACAGCCUCAAGCUCUCUGGCAAGAAAGGGGGAGCCAGCAAAGUCCUCAAAAGACAUCCUGGGGUCUUUGAGGCCUUCAUCUCCAUACAUUUGAAAGACUCGGUGGAGCAGUAAAAGUACCACACCUCGGGACUGAAAGAAAAGUGAACAGUGGAUCCAUCGCAAAGGUACCUGGAUUUUGGCUGACCACAGGACAAGCUGUUUCUGGGCACCUUUUUCUUCUGCUGUGGUUGUUGCUGCUGUUUCUGCAGGAUCUCUGUCAGAGGAGGCUGUUGGGAUCAGUGCACGGCCUCUGCACCGUGGCAGCAUAUUCUGCAUCCACCCUCUUUAGAAUACCCUUGGCUCCAUUGUGUUUAGCCAGAAGCCCAUCGGUGGCUGCUCUCAUCGGGGCCGUCCACCGGCCGUGGUCCAGGACUUGAACCAGGCCUCCCGUCUUAAUGGGUCCAGUGCGGGCGGCUCGAGGAGAGCAGGAUAUGGGCAGUGGCGCUACCCCUCGCAGGUCUUGGGAAUAAAGCAUAUGUUUAUUAUAUUGUUUAUAUUAUUAUUACAAGCUAAUUUUAUACAGUAGCAUAUGUGAAGUUGUUUUUAACGGUUAACUGUUGUGCAUGAGGAAUGGUAGGUGGGUAACCUGUAUCCAUCAAAGGGUGAGACUCUUCUUUGGCUGUGGCAGAUGCUGGUAUAGGUGGCUUGAAAUGGAGGAUCGGCACUGCUCCCACUGGGUUGUCCUGGGAAGUGCCAUCACUGGUCUCCUGAAAUACAGCAUCAAAUAUAAUGAAUGAGUCAGUCAUUCUGUCAGCGGGUUGGAAAUUGACAGUGUGUGAUUCAUCUGGAUUACCUGAGAGUCUGUGCCCGCUACAAUGUCAUGCACUUCAUCCUGGGCAGAGGAGUGCAGCUGUGUCGCCACAGUUACAGCAGCAGAGGUGUUGUGCUGUGUCCUGUGUUUGUCCCAGUUUAAAACCACAGGACGACAGCCUGGCUCCACAUACUGCAGACCGAAUCUCUCCCCUGUGUCCCUGUUUGAUAUGUGCAGGGUUGGAUAUUUUGGCACCCCUGUCACCCUUUGACAGGCUGCGUUCAGUUCCCAAAUGAGCGCAGGGUCAAACAGCUUGCAGCUCCACACACACUGGGUGUGGAGCACCCACUGUCACCCACUGGGCCUCUAGUAACCUCUGAGGAUGUGAACACGCUAAAUCCUCCACACUGUUAACAUCGACGGCUUAAACAGCGGCCUACCAUCAAGAUCAGUCUCCAAUUAGAAUCGCUGCAGAAAGCGCUCAA